CUGCUCUGCGUACAGCAGGGCUCUCUGGUAUAAAUUCCUGUCUGCUGACAGCCCUAGCAGACACUGAUAAACAGCAAUGUCCAGGUGCACCAGCUGACCAUGUCCUCUAACCGCCUGACAGUAAACUGCAACUCUGAGAAUAAGGGCUCAAUUAAUAAUUACAAUGAGACUGUGAUAAAACUCUGCUAAUGUGUAAUGAUAAAGUAUGAUGCGGUUUGUUAUAGGAUUUAUCUUCUUUUUGAAUGUCGGUUCAGCAGGUUACGCUGUAGCUGAUGUUCUGAGAUCUUCAUCCAUGCGCCCCUCUUUAAAUCUGAGCACCUGCCCCUCUAAAGGUCUCUGCACGGCCCUGGAGCUGUGAACGUAGUAUUUGGGGGCAGGAGAUGGAUAAUGGAUAAUGAACUCAAACAUCCUAGGCCGUGCCCCAGGCUGCUUCCGCGUUGAAGCCAUAAUUCCCUGUAUGUAAAUGAAAGUGAAAGAGAUUUAGUCGCCAUUUCAGCAAGAAACACGAACAAGAUUCCGGAAUGAUUUAAAGAUACUUGCAUUGCAAGUGUACAUGAAACUGAAACUACAGCAAAAACUUGAUUCAUUGGUCGGAAGUGAUAUUACACCUAAGUGGAUUCAGUACAAGAGAAAACAUCUGUUUAUUUAAGC